GUUGACUGGAGGAGGCAGAGGAAUGUGCGCCUGAGGAAAGGCUGUUAUUGUAUUCGCAGAUUUCGCGGAAUAUUCUCCGUUCUGCCAACCUGGUUUUAACCGCUGCCAUUUCAGGGUUCUGGUUUUCUGGUCUGUGAAUUGAUGUUGUCUCAGGAUCAGUCUCAAGGCUGGAGAACAAAGGUCUUAAUAUUCCAAUCUUCCUCCAGUAAUGUUGAGUCCUCGACUGACACCUACUCUGAGUCUGAGCGAUCGUGCUCUCGUACUAAAACAUUGACUUUACAUUCUUCUGGCUCUUAGGGGGUCCUGCUGUCAUUUGUUUGCACUUCCAUUGAUAGGUUCUGGG
ensembl:lncRNA